ACGCUCUAGAACAGCCGUGUCCAAUAGACACCCAAUAAAGAUGAGUUCCAUGAAGAUGGGAAAACCAUCUGCUCCUUCUUUUGGGUCAUCUUUCUUUUGGGUCCUGUACCUCACACCACCAAGAGCGAACCCUACCCCUGGUGGAGGAUGCUGGUCAUUGAAGAGGCUGUGCACGUGUAGGGGCAGAAGAGAGAGGGGAAGGGAGAGAAAGAAACAUUGAUUCGAG